rnacentral:rRNA from 1 species
UUGAUCUGCCCAUUGAAAAAUUUUUAAAAGGCCGCAGUAUUUUGACUGUGCAAAGGUAGCAUAAUCAUUAGUUUUAUAAUUUAGAUCUAGAAUGAAUGAUUAAAUGAAAAAUAAACUUUUUUAGUUAUAAAAAUUUAAUUUUAUAAUUAAGUUAAAAAGCUUAAUUUAAUUUAUUAGACGAGAAGACCCUAUAGAAUUUAAUUAUUGUAAAUUUAAUAUUUAUUUUAAUUUUAAUUAAUUUAAUUGGGGAGAUUUUAAAAUUUUUUAAACUUUUUAUAAUUUUUCAAUUUUAAUUGUUUAUUUGAUCUUUUAUUAAAGAUUUUAAGAUUAAAUUACCUUAGGGAUAACAGCAUAAUUUUUUUAAAAAGUUCUUAUUUUUAUAAAAGUUUAUGACCUCGAUGUUGGAUUAAAUAAUUUUUAAUUGAAGAUAAUUAAAUAGAAUAGUCUGUUCGACUAUUAAAAUUUUACAUGAUCUGAGUUCAAACCGGUGUAAGCCAGGUCGGUUUCUAUCU